AUUGAACGCUGGCGGCAGGCCUAACACAUGCAAGUCGAACGAGUGGCGGACGGGUGAGUAAUGUCUGGGAAACUGCCUGAUGGAGGGGGAUAACUACUGGAAAAGUUAGCUAAUACCGCAUACCAUCAGAUGUGCCCAGAUGGGAUUAGCUUGUUGGUGGGGUAACGGCUCACCAAGGCGACGAGCCCUAGCUGGUCUGAGAGGAUGACCGGCCACACUGGAACGGAGACACGGGCCAGACUCCUACGGGAGGCAGAAUAGGGGAAUAUUGGACAAUGGGCGAAAGCCUGAUGCAGAAAUGCCGCGUGUAUGAAGAAGGCCUUCGGGGUGUAAAGUACUUUCAGCGGGGAGGCGGUACCCGAAGAGAAAGCACCGGCUAACUCCGUGCCAGCAGCCGCGGUAAUAC
rnacentral:rRNA from 1 species